CUCGACUGUCUGACCUCAUGAGCCCUGAUCUAUUCUUCCCCUCAUCUCUUAUACCUUCUUUCUUGGGCCCCCUCU